CCUACGGGGGGCAGCAGUGGGGAAUAUUGCACAAUGGGGGAAACCCUGAUGCAGCGACGCCGCGUGAGUGAAGAAGUAAUUCGUUACGUAAAGCUCUGUCAGCAGGGAAAAAACACUGACCUUACGGUCAGCAGACGGUACCUGAGUAAGAAGCCCCGGCUAACUACGUGCCAGCAGCCGCGGUAAUACGUAGGGGGCAAGCGUUAUCCGGAUUUACUGGGUGUAAAGGGAGCGUAGACGGCGCGCCAAGUCUGGAGUGAAAUGCCGGAGCAUAACUGCGGAACUGCUCUGGAAACUGGCGAGCUAGAGUGCGGGAGGGGUAAGCGGAAUUCCUAGUGUAGCGGUGAAAUGCGUAGAUAUUAGGAGGAACACCAGUGGCGAAGGCGGCUUACUGGACCGUAACUGACGUUGAGGCUCGAAAGCGUGGGGAGCAAACAGGAGUAGAUACCCUAGUAGUC
rnacentral:rRNA from 1 species